AGCGGUCUUUAUAAAUCAGAGAAGAUCAGAGCGAUCUUUAUAAAUCAGAGAAGAUCAGAGCGGUCUUUAUAAAUCAGAGAAGAUCAGAGCGGUCUUUAUAAAUCAGAGAAGAUCAGAGCGGUCUUUAUAAAUCAGAGAAGAUCAGAGCGGUCUUUAUAAAUCAGAGAAGAUCAGAGCGGUCUUUAUAAAUCAGAGAAGAUCAGAACUGUCUUUAUAAAUCAGAGAAAAUCAGAGUGGUCUUUAUAAAUCAGUGAGGCCCCACACUGCUACAUUAUAACUGGCCAGGGGCCCCACACUGCUACAUCAUCAAUGGCCAGGGGCCCCACACUGCUGCAUCAUAACUGGCCAGGGGCCCCACACUGCUACAUCAUCACUGGCCAGGGGCCCCACACUCCUACAUCAUAACUGGCCAGGGCCCCACACUGCUACAUCAUCACUGGCCAGGGGCCCCACACUGCUAAAUCAUAACUGGCCAAGGGCCCCACACUGCUACAUCAUCACUGGCCAGGGGCCCCACACUGCUACAUCAUAACUGGCCAGGGGCCCCACACUGCUACAUCAUCACUGGCCAGGGGCCCCACACUGCUACAUCAUACCAUUAAUAUCACAUCAUAACUGACCAGGGAGCCCACACUGCUACAUCAUCACUGGCCAGGGGCCCCACACUGCUACAUCAUCACUGGCCAGGGCCCCACACUGCUACAUCAUACCAUUAAUAUCACAUCAUAACUGACCAGGGAGCCCACACUGCUACAUCAUCACUGACCAGGGGCCCCACACUGCUACAUCAUCACUGACCAGGGGCCCCACACUGCUACAUCAUACCAUUAAUAUCACAUCAUAACUGACCAGGGGCCCCACACUGCUACACCAUAACUGGCCAGGGGCCCCACACUGCUACAUCAUAACUGACCAGGGCCCCACACUGCUACAUCAUACCAUUAAUAUCACAUCAUAACUGACCAGGGGCCCCACACUGCUACACCAUAACUGGCCAGGGGCCCCACACUGCUACAUCAUAACUGACCAGGGGCCCCACACUGCUGCAUCAGGCUUCGUUAUUGUCAGGCUCAUUAGAAUAUGAGUCAUUAUCAUAUUGUUGCCAAGGAGCGAUUUCAGUGUUUCUACAUCUGGUUUGCAUAUCAUUGAUUUAAAGAACAGAGUUUGUUUGUCCUGUCUCGGGGUGAUCACACGCACGCACAGACCGGAAAUUGAAAACUUCCGAAAGGAAGGCUACUGCCCUCCAAACGUGGACACAUAUGGAUGCAUACACAACACACACACACACACACACACACACACAACACACACACACAACAAAUACACAACACACACAACAAAUACACAACACACACACACAACACACACACACAACACACACACAUGUGCACACCACACACUCUCUCUUUAUCCAUAUGACCAAGUCAAAGACCAGCCUUCUAUAAUGCCAGGAGUUUGAAGAUGCAUGAAGAAACCAUACAGAGCAUUCAGGAAAUAUUCAGAGCCCUUGACAUUUUUACACAUUUUCUUACGUUUCAGCCUUAUUUUAAAUUUAUUAAAUAGUUUUUUUUCUCAUCAAUUUACACACAAUACCCCAUAAUGAUAAACGCAAAAACUGUUCUUUAGAAAUGUUUGCAAAUUUAUUACAAAUUUAAAAAACUGAAAUAUCUUAUUUACAUAAGUACUCAGUCCUUUUGCUAUGAGACUUGAAAUGGAGCUCAGGUGUAUCCUGUUUCCAUUGAUCAUCCUUGAGAUGUUUUUACAACUUGAUUGGAGUUCACCUCUGGUCCUCUUCCUCUGGUCCUCUUCCUCUGGUCCUCUCCCUCUGGUCCUCUCCCUGUGGUCCUCUACCUCUGGUCCUCUCCCUCUGGUCCUCUCCCUCUGGCCCUCUCCCUCUGGCCCUCUCCCUCUGGUCCUCUCCCUCUGGUCCUCUCCCUCUGGUCCUCUCCCUCUGGUCCUCUCCCUCUCCUCUCUGGUCCUCUACCUCUGGUCCUCUCCCUCUGGUCCUCUCCCUCUGGUCCUCUCCCUCUGGUCCUCUUCCUCUGGUCCUCUCCCUCUGGUCCUCUCCUCUCUGGUCCUCUCCCUCUGGUCCUCUCCCUCUGGUCCUCUCCCUCUG
ensembl:lncRNA